CUCCGUCACUCCAUUCCCCUCACUCUGCUCGCCCCAUUCUCAUCCGCUGCCACAGCCUCGCCCAGCCGCCACGGAGGCUGCUUCAAUCUCUCGUGACGCCUCGGUCCACAUGCCCUUCCUUCCUCCCCUCCUCACUGCUCACCUUCACCGGUGCUGGUGGAUCUCACCGCGCGCGUUCUCGGCUGUGCCGGAGUGGACACUUCAGCACUCGCUCCGCGGCUAUAUUGAGGAGAUCAAAUUGAUGGAUCGAGGGGGCAGGACGCGGCGGCAGGGAUGGAUGUGCCGGCGAUGGUGACGCUGCUGGGGAUUCGACGCCAACAGGUCGCGUCGCGGCUCGACGUUCCCGACGGCUGCCCACGGCGCACAGGUCGCCCGCGCCCCCGUCGGGCUCCUAGACCGCCACAACGGCGGAAUGGCCCCGCCUCCGUCGACUGGUGUAAUUUGGACAGGAGCAAGUGCGCCAAUCAAUUCUGAUGCGGUGAGAUGCACAGGGAGAGGCCUGCAUCGGCAAGGCUAGCAGGAGGCCGUCCUCUGGAGGUCUGCGCCACGACGCCGGUAGUAUCUUCACCAAGGAGUUCGGAGGCGAUGCAGCAGUGGUGAAGGCGAUGGUUGUGCUGGGUGCAGGCAGGUGCAGACGGGGUGAAUUGAGUUCAGAUCCAUGAACAAAUGAUUGUGAUUUUGUAGCUGCAGUGGUGCUAUUCUUUAUUAUUACUUGACUUGUAUGCUUCUGCGCUCACUAUGCCUGCAAACAGAAGCACACGAUUUUGGAUGUCCUGAAGCGCAUACAAUUUUGGAUGUCCUGAAGCGCAUACACACGGUUUUGUUUGACUUGGGUGUUGAAACUGCCCUUUUGUCAUAACAUUGAUACAGUGUGAUGCCUAUGGGAAGAAGUGGUGCUUUGAGAGAAUAGGUUACUGAAGUGCAGUCACGUGCAUUGGCUUUCUCAUGUGGGUUGGGCCUCAUACUUUUCUGUGAAAGCAAUCACAUUAGGAGUAAACUGUUCAUGCGAUGGCUGUAUGAGAUGUGAUGCCUGUAUGAGAUGCGAUGAUGUAUGAGAUGCGAUGGCUGUAUCAAAUAAUACCUAUAUCUCGUCGGCGUCUCCUCGCCAGGAUCAGCCCCGGAUCCUGGACGUGUUCAGCGCCGGAUCCUGUACGUGUCCGAUGGAGGGCGGCAAGUGAAGCGCCUUUGAUGUGCGAGGCCGGCGGCGAAGGGAUGGAGCGGCGGCGGCGGCGAACGAGGGCAGAUAGUCGUGCGUGCGAGUGGUUCUCGCUCGAGGGCAGGAGACCUCGCUCGUACGAGCGGUCAAUUGGUUUAGGUCUUUUUUGCUGGUUAAUUUUUGUAGGUUUUUUUUUCGCUGGUUAAUUUUCGUAGAUUUUUUUACUUUGUUCGUCUUGGGUGCGAUCGGAGGUUAAGCCCUGGAGUGCCUGGGGGCGGGUGGGGGCCUCGGUACAAGGUAUUUUUCGGUUCUUGGUGGCUUAGUGUGAGGUGGGAGGAGGUAUAAAAAAAACCAUGGGAGGUGGGAGGAAAGAAAACCUGGAAGCGAGACUAUCAA